UGCAUCUGUUAGAAUAUUCUUAGUGAAGCUUCCGAUAGAGAGGAGAAAUUCACUUAUUGAAGCUUGAACUUGGUGUCUCCAAUCUGUUUGGACAGUUCAAGAUAAUUCAAACGCGAAACUGAACCACGUUUCUCUCAUAAAGAAAGCUGAAGAUGCCUGGGUCCACUGUGUACCAGGUCACGAUUUUAAUGAUCACUGUGUUCACGCUCGGAGGCUUUGCAGACGCAAAUAGUAAGGCAGUGGUAUCUUCAUCAUCAUGUACGAUCGAAGAACUUGAUACAUGGAAGCUAAUAGCACUAUCGGCCAUUGCAGCUAUGGCGGUUAGCAUCCUGGGAAAUAUUAGCUUGCUAGUCGUUAUACAGGUUGCACAAAACGAUAUACACGCAUUCUAUAUAGCACACCACGGGCUACACAAGAGAUUCAACGGUCUACUCCAACCAGAAGGGAAGCCUGCAUCAAAGUGUUCUGAUCAAGAAAGAAUGGCUGUUUGGCAGAAUGUGGAUUGCCAAGAAAUGUAUAGCUCUUUGGACAAUGUCACAGAAGGCGAAGUUCAUGGCAGAGGGCAAAACACCGUUACUGAGAAU